CUGGCCUACGGGGGGCAGCAGUGAGGAAUAUUGGUCAAUGGGCGGGAGCCUGAACCAGCCAAGUCGCGUGAGGGAAGACGGUCCUAUGGAUUGUAAACCUCUUUUGUCGGGGAGCAAAGAGAUCACGUGUGGUCAAAAGCGAGAGUACCCGAAGAAAAAGCAUCGGCUAACUCCGUGCCAGCAGCCGCGGUAAUACGGAGGAUGCGAGCGUUAUCCGGAUUUAUUGGGUUUAAAGGGUGCGUAGGCGGGGCGGUAAGUCAGCGGUAAAAAUUCGGAGCUCAACUCCGUCGAGCCGUUGGAACUUG
rnacentral:rRNA from 1 species